CGCACAUUGCGCCCACUGGUAUUCCGGUGGGCAUGCCUGUUCGAGCGUCAUUACAACCCUUAAGCCCUGUUGCUUAGUGUUAGGAGCCUACGAUAUACAGUAGCUCCUCAAAGUCAGUGGCGGAGCCGGUCCGUGCUCUAGGCGUAGUAGAUUUUCGUCUCGCCUGUAGCCGGGCCCGGUGCCUUGCCGUAAAACAACACCUAAUUUUUUCAAGGUUGACCUCGGAUCAGGUAGGAAUACCCGCUGAACUUAA
rnacentral:misc_RNA from 1 species